CUAGCGAGUGAAGCUAAACUAUUGAGCAUAGCUAACAACUCUGUAACUGGUUGGAUGCUACAUGGAGGUUGAACAGCGCUGAUAUCUUGCUGCUUGAAGCUGGAAGUCUCAGACAGAUGGACAGACAGAGGGUCGGACAGAGGGAGAGGCAGAGGGAGAGACAGUGGGAGAGACAGUGGGAGAGACAGUGAGAGACAGAGGGAGAGGCAGAGGGAGAGACAGUGGGACGGACAGAGGGAGAGACAGUGAGAGAGACAGUGGGAGAGACAGUGGGAGAGACAGUGAGAGAGACAGAGAGACAGUGGGAAAGAGAGACAGAGGGAGAGACAGUGGGACGGACAGAGGGAGAGACAGUGAGAGAGACAGAG
ensembl:lncRNA